rnacentral:tRNA from 1 species
GGCCUCGUAGCUCAGAUGGCGAGAGCGUUGGCUUUACUAAAGCCUUCCACCUUGCUGGGGUGAGUUCGAAUCCUACCGUGGUCA